UAUAUAAGAUUCUGUAAAAAGUCAUUUUGAGAUCGUUACCAAAUCUGGAAUUUAUCUUUAAAAUGAAAAUACAAGGGAAUACAUAUGGAAUAAUAUGGAGAUUUAAUGCAAAGUAUUAUUUCUAUUUCCACUAAAACAAAGUCAAAAUUAGAGAAUGAUGUAACAUGACAUUAUUAUAUCAAUAUUUGCUAUACCACAUUAUUUCCAUGAAUUUCAGUAUUCAUAGCAAUGACACCAUAAAACUUAUGCAUAAAGUUAUUUACCCUAUGCUAUUCAAGCAAUGGUCCUAGUCAUUAAUAAAUCUUGUUUUUAUUUACAAUAAUUAUAUAAUUUUAAUAUCACAGAAGUCAGAUGAUAUAUACACUAUUGAAAUGAAUGUUUAGCAUACACUAUUUCAAAUAGAAUAUUUUGAUAUAUUGAUACAUAAAUGAAGAAUGAUUGUCGUUUACUAAAAUAAUGAUAUAAUGCAAGGUUUUAUAAAUGCAAAGCACUAAGAUUUAUAGACACAUGCUUUAAGAAAGUGCCUUUUCUAUUGUUUAUAUUAUGAGUGUUGCCUUCUUUCAUUACUCAGAAACAGAGCACACCAUUAUGUUUUAUUACUUUGUUGUUGUUUUUACUCAGAAUAAAUGAAGGCGUUGAAUUAUCUUUUUACAACAAUUGAUUUAUUUUCUUUCGUGAACACGAUUGAAUGUUCAUUCAUUUAUCAAUUUCUUAAUGUUUAUUUAUGACAUUAUUAGUUAAAAUACUAUUGUUAUAUUCGUUUGAAAGAUAGAGAAAUACAUCGGACUUUGACAUUCGACAUUCAGAAUGAGUAUGAUCCCAUUUUACAGCUUGGAGUCAUAGUACAUCCAUCGGCGGUGAGACACAAGUGAUUU